rnacentral:rRNA from 1 species
UCUGGUGACAAUGGCAAGGAGGUCACACCUGUUCCCAUGCCGAACACAGAAGUUAAGCUCCUUAGCGCCGAUGGUAGUUGGAUUGACGUUCCGCUAGAGUAGGACGUUGCCAGGC